UCUUAGAUAACAGCUUUUAUACUUGAAUAAAUCUAGUUUCAAAAUAGUAUUUAUUGUGCUGUUGAAGAACAGCAAACUACCAUGUCUGCUCCAGUCCAUCAUCCAGCCACCCCUCACCUGCAAACAAUCCCAGGAGGCUUCACUCCCGGCUGCAUUGCUCAUGUCACCGGCACCUUCACUCCAGGAGCGGCAAGUCUCAUAGUUAAGCUACAGUCAGGGCCAUCAGGGGACCCAACAGAUGAGAUUGGGUUGUGCGUUUAUGGUCGGGUGCGCGAGGGGCAGCUUGGCCGCAACUGCUUCACCCGCUCUGCUGGGUGGGGCAAUGAGGAACUCACCCACUCUGUGCCUGGUCUCUCCCCCAGUGCCACGUUUGAUCUCACUAUUCUCUGUGAUCCUCAACAAUUUAAGAUUGCCUACAAUGGAAAACAUCUAUGUGAGUUCUCCCACAGAACAAACCCUGCUUCCCUCACCUAUCUUCAGGUGGGCAGCCUGCCUGGGGACCUGACGCUGUCAUGCGUGUGGGUGGAGGCGCCCGCAGCUGCCCAGCACGCAGCCAGCGCCCCCGCCAUGGCUUAUGGUGCCCCUCCCCCACCCUACACCCCCAACAACCCCCUGCCUUAUGACCCCAACCCCCAGAUGGGGUAUGCACCUCCCCCAGGCAUGGCACACACGCAGCAGUACCCCCAGCAGUACUCCCAGCAGCACUAUCAGGGAGGCCACCAGCCCAAGGGUCUCAUAGGGAAGCUGACCAACGCCGCGACGGACGUGGCGGGCGCCCUGGGGGCGGGGCACCUCGUGGGCAAGGCCACGCAGUUCCUCAACAAAAGCCCCGGCGGCGGUCACGGCAGCGGGGCGUACCCUCAACAGGGCGGGGUUUACCCUCAACAGGGCGGAGCUUAUCCUCAACAGGGCGGGGCUUACCCUCAACAGGGCGGAGCUUAUCCUCAACAGGGCGGGGCUUACCCUCAACAGGGAGCCUACCCCUACAGCCAGCAUGGAAGCUACCCCCCUCCAGGGUCCUGGUAAGGCUCUGAAGUAUGGAGCUCCUCUCGCUGCUGCCGCCUACCUCACCAAGGGCAAGAAAUGCGGUGGAGGCGGAGGCACC
rnacentral:misc_RNA from 1 species